CCGGAGGAAGUGGGGAUGACGUCAAGUCCUCAUUGGCCCUUUACUGGGUAGGGCUUCACACGUCAUACAAUGGUCGGUACAGAGGGUUGCCAGCCGCGAGGUGGAGCCAAUCCCACAAAAGCCGAUCGUAGUCCGGAUUGUUCUCUGCAACUCGAGAGCAUGAAGUCGGAAUCGCUAGUAAUCGCAGGUCAGCAUACUCGCGGUGAAUACGUUCCCGGGUCCUU
rnacentral:rRNA from 1 species